AAACCAGCACCUCAAGUGGUCAGGAUGAUUAUUGGGCCUAAAGCAUCCGUAGCCGGCUCUGUAAGUUUUCGGUUAAAUCUGUACGCUCAACGUACAGGCUGCCGGGAAUACUGCAGAGCUAGGGAGUGGGAGAGGUAGACGGUACUCGGGAGGAAGGGGUAAAAUCCUUUGAUCUCUCGAUGACCACCUGUGGCGAAGGCGGUCUACCAGAACACGUCCGACGGUGAGGGAUGAAAGCUGGGGGAGCAAACCGGAUUAGAAACCCCGGUAGUCC
rnacentral:rRNA from 1 species